AGAUGGAGUCUGCCGGGCAAGCCAGAGACAUGGGUCCCACUUCUGGCUGCCUGUGGAGAAAGGAACACAGCACAAUGACUGCUUUAUCUGUUCAUGGAGAAUUGUGUGCAAGUAGGAAGACAAACACCUAGCCCGCUGUGGAUGCAGCCACACAAGUUUUCUUCCAACAAAAACCAGGAGACUUCAAAGAAGUUUAAUUCACCCUUCAUUCUACAAAGGCUCACUCUGUCCUUGCUAAUACUUUAUGGCCAUGAUCUGCAUGUGUCUCAACCAAACACUACAGUUAGAUUCAUUCAACAUCACUGAAACCCCAACCUCCUUAAUCUACUUAGCUCAUCAACACAUAAUAUUUAUGCUUCAAACACAUUAGAAAGUGGGCAAGUAUUCCCCAAAAUAUACACUAAGUGAAACAUAAAUGAACAAAGAACUUUACAAAUCUUUACCCCAUGUGGGAGUCUAGCCAAAUCCAUGUUUCUGGAAAAUGUUUCCUGACAUGUGGGUUGCUAACCAAAGAAAAGUCUUGAAAACCAA